rnacentral:rRNA from 1 species
CAAUGGCGUAUAUUAAAGUUGUUGCAGUUAAAAGCUCGUAGUUGGAUUUCUGGCAGGAGCGACCGGUCGGCCCAUGUGGUGUGUACUAGUGUUGCAUCUGGCCAUAUUUGUGGAGAGCGUGUGUGGCAUUAAUUUGUCGUGCUCGGGACCCGCAUCGUUUACUGUGAGAAAAUUAGAGUGUUCAAAGCAGGCUUAUGCCUUGGAUAUGUUAGCAUGGAAUAAUAAGAUAAGACUUUGGCGGUCUAUUUUGUUGGUUUGCACGCCAUUGUAAUGAUUGAUAGGGGACAGUUGGGUGAUUCAUAUUUCAUUGUCAGAGGUGAAAUUCUUGGAUUUAUGAAAGACGAACUUCUGCGAAAGCAUUUGCCAAGGAUGUUUUCAUUAAUCAAGAACGAAAGUUGGGGCGUC